ACACUGUUAAUUUUGGAAGGCACAUUAGCCAGUAGGGUUGAAAGAUUUAAUGUUCCAGUAAUAGGAGUUUGGAAUUCCAAAACACAGAGAAAUUGUCACUUUUAUUGUUUUGCUUAGUCUGGUUUUAUUUCAGGAAGUUAGGAGACACUGGGCCCGACAGCGCAGAUGACAAGCCGUGAUGCAAAUGCUUCCUAUCUAUGAGACAGGAAAUGCUCUCAGACCCUGCACGUAACUCCCUGCAAAGUUUGCUCUUUGUUUUUGGUACAUCCAUUUGCUUCUUUGUGCUUAAUUCUAUGUAUUGUGUACAGAUGAGACAAAGAGAAAGCUGCAGUUAUAGGACAGUAUAUGCCUUCUAAAGAAAUUGCUCUUACAUUAUCAAGGAACAAAUGAAGAGGUUUACUGAUUUAUGAGGAGACAUUUGGUAUAAACUGAAGGACUUGCUACAGUAGCCAUAUAAAGGACCUCAUAAUGAAAUUUUUCAGGUCACACACACACAUACGCACGCAUGUACGUAUAUGCACAUAUACAAUUGUUUUUCAAGUGGUUUCAGAUUUUUCAAAUGCAGUCACUAAAGAUCAAUUCUAGCAAUGAAUACAUUUUGAAUUUGUACCCUCUGAGCUCUUACCAUUUUGGUCAUGCAGACCUUGAGAAUUAAGAACCCAGAAUAUUUUUCUUCAUAAUUUUGACACUGAUUCAUCCUAUUUUUUUUUUUUUUUUCAGGGAGGAAGGGGGUCACAGGGUCUCGCUCUGUCACCCAGGCUAGUGUGCAGUGAUGUGCGAUCAUAGCUUGCUGUAACCUCAAACUCCUGGGCUCAAGUGACCCUCCCGCCUCAGCCUCUUGAGUAGCUGGGACCACAGGAACGGGCCACCACACCUGGCUAAUUUUUUAAAAUUUUUUGUAGAGACGGGGUCUCACUAUGUUCCCCAGAUUUGUCUUGAAUUCCUGGUCUUAAGCAGUCCCCCUGCCUCGGCCUCCCAAAGUGCUAGGAUUACAGCCAGGAACCACUGCACUGAACCAUGAUUCAUCCUGUCUUUGAAUCUGCCCACCUGGAAGUGUUGUGUAAAUUUUUCCGUAAAGACUGGACUUGGCUUCAUUCAGUUCGACUAUCAGAUUCUUCACAGUGCCUCAGAGAGAUGGAGUCUUCUGUCACCCAGGCUGGAGUGCAGUGGAGCAAUUGUAGCUCACUGUAGCCUCAAACUCCUGGACUUAAGUGAUCCUCCUGCCUCAGCCUCUCCAGAUGCAAGUCACUGCACCCAGCAGCUUCCUAAAUAUUUGACUUGUAGACAGAA
rnacentral:lncRNA from 10 species